rnacentral:lncRNA from 1 species
GUUGCCUCGGGUUGGCAUCAAAAGUAAGCCCCCACAUAAUAUUCCACACACGGGUUUGCCUUAUGUCAUGCUCAAAAUGGGUCGUCCAUGAAUGUUCUUGUGUCCUCGAGGUGACCAAGUCUUAAGUAUUCAUGUGUUGGCAUCCAAUGAUGUCUUCAAAAUCAUAGAUGGCCAUUUAGCUCGUAUCAUCCUCCCCUUCUUGAAAAG